rnacentral:rRNA from 1 species
GAUGAACGCUGGCGGCGUGCCUAAUACAUGCAGGUCGAGCGAACGGACGAGAAUCUUGCUUCUCUGAUGUUAGCGGCGGACGGGUGAGUAACACGUUGAUAACCUACCUAUAAGACUGGGCUAACUUCGGGAAACCGGAUCUAAUACCGGAUAAUAUUUUGAACCGCAUGGUUCAAAAGUCAAAGCCGUUCUUGCUCUCCCUUAUAGAUGGUUCCUCGCUGCAUUAGCUAGUUGGUAAGGUAACGGCUUACCAAGGCAACGAUGCAUAGCCGACCUGAGAGGGUGAUCGGCCACACUGGAACUGAGACACGGUCCAGACUCCUACGGGAGGCAGCAGUAGGGAAUCUUCCGCAAUGGGCGAAAGCCUGACGGAGCAACGCCGCGUGAGUGAUGAAGGUCUUCGGAUCGUAAAACGCUGUUAUUAGGGAAGAACAUAUGUGUAAGUAACUGUGCACAGCUUGACGGUACCUAAUCAGAAAGCAACGGCUAACUACGUG